UACGUAGGGUGCGAGCGUUGUCCGGAAUUAUUGGGCGUAAAGGGCUCGUAGGCGGUUUGUCGCGUCGGGAGUGAAAACACACAGCUUAACUGUGUGCUGGCUUCCGAUACGGGCAGACUAGAGGUAUGCAGGGGAGAACGGAAUUCCUGGUGUAGCGGUGAAAUGCGUAGAUAUCUGGAGGAACACCGGUGGCGAAGGCGGCAUCCUGGACCGGUAUUGACGCUGAGGCGCGAAAGCCAGGGGAGCAAAGCGGG
rnacentral:rRNA from 1 species